AGAAACUUAGGAUAACACUAAACCAAGGGCCUUCAAAGUCCAAAAUAGAGGUGAAACCCCCCUAGUUUCUG
rnacentral:tRNA from 1 species